GCUCCCCCACAGCCCUCACCUUGCCUCCAGCCCCCCCCGCCGCGGCCUUCCCCUGGCUGGGUGAUGUGACGUUCCACUUCCAACUCUCUCCAGUCUGGCCAAAGCCACGAAGAGGAAUACGUGCGCCACUUCAAGCGUCGCUAACACAGUCACACACAAUGUCUUCUGGCGCUGUGAUCAUCACUACGGACACCCUUCCUCCAGGAACUUGCACUGCCUGCAGGAAAGGUAAAAUAAAGAACAGUGCUUCAUGUUGCACUUGGAUCACCUGUCUGCUGCUGCUUCCCCUUGGCAUCAUCCCUGGCAUCAUUGCCUUCUGCUGCUGCUGCCGCGAACCCAAGUGCACCAACUGUGGCUACACCCCGUAGUGAAGAGCAGGACAAAGAGGUCUCGCCUCGAGCAGGUUGUGGUAGUUAUAGGAUAUCACUUUCUUAAGCCCUGCUAGUUCUUUAAAUGAUCUGAAUACAAUUGACCUAGAUUCUAAAUUGAGUAAAUAUCCAUUUGAUGUCACCUUAGUGUAACUCAACAAUGAAAUAUCUUAAGAAAUGUCUUCAUAUUAGUAAUUAUAACCAAUAUGUACACACACACAAUGUUGGCCUCAUAUUAUUGGAAUGUGGCAUGGGAUUGGGUUGUGCACCAUUCAAAUUGUGAUGAUAUACUUAAUCAAGCUAGAGUUCCUUCUAAAUGCUGAUUCAGUACCUAGAGCUACUAGAAAGUUUGACAUCUCAUAAUUAUGUAUAAUUAGUAAUCACAAACACUGACAAGCAGCUUUCUUAAUUUUCCCAGCUAUCUAGUUUUUAAACCUUAAAAUGAAAUGUAUACUUAAAACAAGACCAUAGUACUCUUAAAACACUGGUUAUAAAUACUUACUCUCUUUUGGCUGUAUACAAUGUAUGUAAUUAUUCUUAAGUGAACCAUCUGUAGUGCAGCUGAUUGCAUUUUCUUUGUCAUAGCUUCUAGGAACUAAUGAGACCUGUCUUUAUGCUGGUUCUGGAACCACCAAUUAAACCAAUGUAUUUUCGCACAAAUCUGCAAAAUAUAAUUUGUUCUGUCCUAUUUUUUUCAUAAACUCAACAAGUGAGAAGGAUCUUUAUAUUUCAGACAUUACUAAUUGUAAAAGAAAUAUUGAAAAAGAAGAGUUUGCCAAAUGUAGUAGGACACACUCUUUUAUAUAUAUAUAUAUAUAUAUAUAUAUAUAUAUAUAUAUAUAUAUAUAUAUAUAUAUAUAUAUAUAUAUAUAUAUAAAAUCCACCUGAAAACUUAACUAAUUACAUAUAUCAUUGUGACUAAUGUAAUGAACAAUAUCAAUGUCACAGUCACAAUGGGUAGGCAGUGGCUGAGUGGUUAGCGUGCGGGCCCCGCAUUCACCGCGCCAUGGACGUCAGUUCGAAUCCCCAUGCUACCACCUGGGAUUUUUCAGUCACCGCUGAGCGGCCUAAGACUACCCACAUGCUGUCCAGAAGACCACCCAUCAACCUGGACUCUAGAAGAAACCGUCCAAGUGAAUCAAGAAUGAGUUCCGGGGGGCAGCAUGAGCCAAGCAUAACUGCCGCCACUAUAAAAAUUGCCUGCGCCAUGACGGGCUUGGGCCAACCACCAGGCCCCUGAAGAAAGCCUACUGGCACAACAGGCGGAGAUGUAAAAAACACACACACACACACACACAAAAAAAAAAGCACUGAAUUUAUUCUUGUUUGUUAGGGUUGAUGCACAUGAAUUAAUGGUUCAGUUAUAUCCCUAUAUUAAUAGAUAUCCUGAAUUCCAACCAGGAUUUGUACAAAAAGUAUGUUCCAUUCCUAAUCCAGCACAGGCUUGGCACACCUCUGUUAUGUUCAUAAAGGGCCUGACAAUGUUGUGUGUGUGUCUGAUGCAAUCGUUUGGGUUAAGGGAAUUUUGCUUUUAAUCAUAGUGAAACAGAUUUAGAUAGUUGGAUCAUUUUGUAAGACAUUGAAAUUGUUUGAUUCUGCAGCCAAGGGUCUUACUACAUAUACUAAUUUGUGAAAAUAUUUGUAAUAAAGUCCCACAAAAUACUUCAGUACUUAUUUCAACUCUAAUAAGAAUUUUUCCAUCAUUCUAGUGUAGAUUUUAUAAGCAAAGGUAACUGAACCAAACAUCUUUAAGUUCAUAUAUUUUUUAUAAAGUAUUCAUCUGAGACAUAGGAGUAAGAUUAUAUUAUAUUUCACUUUAAGGUUGUACUUUGUGAAAUAAAAGUCUAUGCUGC